rnacentral:rRNA from 1 species
CCUACGGGAGGCAGCAGUGAGGAAUAUUGGUCAAUGGGCGCAAGCCUGAACCAGCCAUGCCGCGUGCAGGAUGACGGUCCUAUGGAUUGUAAACUGCUUUUAUACGGGAAGAAACACUCCCUCGUGAGGGAGCUUGACGGUACCGUAGGAAUAAGGAUCGGCUAACUCCGUGCCAGCAGCCGCGGUAAUACGGAGGAUCCAAGCGUUAUCCGGAAUCAUUGGGUUUAAAGGGUCCGUAGGCGGCCCGGUAAGUCAGUGGUGAAAUCUCCCGGCUCAACCGGGAAAUUGCCAUUGAUACUGCAGGGCUUGAAUUACUGGGAAGCAACUAGAAUAUGUAGUGUAGCGGUGAAAUGCUUAGAUAUUACAUGGAAUACCGAUUGCGAAGGCAGGUUGCUACCAGCGGAUUGACGCUGAUGGACGAAAGCGUGGGUAGCGAACAGGAUUAGAUACCCUGGUAGUCCACGUCGUAAACGAUGGAUACUAGCUGUUCGGCGCAAGCUGAGUGGCUAAGCGAAAGUGA